rnacentral:rRNA from 1 species
GACGAACGCUGGCGGCGUGCUUAACACAUGCAAGUCGAACGGAAAGGCCCUGCUUUUGUGGGGUGCUCGAGUGGCGAACGGGUGAGUAACACGUGAGUAACCUGCCCUUGACUUUGGGAUAACUUCAGGAAACUGGGGCUAAUACCGGAUAGGAGCUCCUGCUGCAUGGUGGGGGUUGGAAAGUUUCGGCGAUUGGGGAUGGACUCGCGGCUUAUCAGCUUGUUGGUUGGGUAGUGGCUUACCAAGGCUUUGACGGGUAGCCGGCCUGAGAGGGUGACCGGCCACAUUGGGACUGAGAUACGGCCCAGACUCCUACGGGAGGCAGCAGUGGGGAAUAUUGCACAAUGGGCGGAAGCCUGAUGCAGCAACGCCGCGUGCGGGAUGACGGCCUUCGGGUUGUAAACCGCUUUCGCCUGUGACGAAGCGUGAGUGACGGUAAUGGGUAAAGAAGCACCGGCUAACUACGUG